UAAUACGAAGGGUGCAAGCGUUACUCGGAAUUACUGGGCGUAAAGCGUGCGUAGGUGGUGAUUUAAGUCAGAUGUGAAAGCCCUGGGCUCAACCUGGGAACUGCAUCUGAUACUGGGUCACUAGAGUGCGGUAGAGGAUAGCGGAAUUCCUGGUGUAGCAGUGAAAUGCGUAGAGAUCAGGAGGAACAUCCGUGGCGAAGGCGGCUAUCUGGGCCAGCACUGACACUGAGGCACGAAAGCGUGGGAGCAAACAGGAUUAGAUACCCUGGUAGUCCACGCCCUAAACGAUGCGAACUGGAUGUUGGGUGCAAUUUGGCACUCAGUAUCGAAGCUAACGCGUUAAGUUCGCCGCCUGGGGAGUACGGUCGCAAGACUGAAACUCAAAGGAAUUGACGGGGGCCCGCACAAGCGGUGGAGUAUGUGGUUUAAUUCGAUGCAACGCGCAGAACCUUACCUGGCCUUGACAUGCACGGAACUUUCCAGAGAUGGA
rnacentral:rRNA from 1 species